GACUCAUGGCAGUGGAUAUCUUGUCUCUCACCAUGAUGAAGAAUGUAGAAAAAUGCGAUACUUAGUGUGAAUUGCAGAAUCCUGUGAAUCAUCGAGUCUUUGAAUGCAAGUUGUUCCUGAGGCCUUGAUUGGGGGCACGUCUACUUGGGAGUCG